AGUGUUAAGACUUUUACGUACUUUUGUUUUGUUUGCUUUAGUCUUAACAGAAAAGGAAGCUGGUCUCCUUGCGGAAAAACAAACAUUUAAGGCAGGUAACCACUGACUCUUCUCCGUGACUCACUCAGUACACGGAAUCAGUUACCAAGGACUGUCCAUUUACCUCUACUCCUUGUGCAAAGAUAGUCAUUGUUUUACUUCUCUGCACCUUGGCCAGUGGUCAGAAUAACCUUUACCAGAGCUUUCCCCCCCUCAAAAGUCAGAGUUCAUUCAACCCAUUAUCCCAGGGCAUAAGGUUGUUAAGCUGGGGAAAAAAAUUUCAGACCAAAGUAGUCUGAGCCCAGUUUUUGUUAAAAAUAAAGGACCAAAGAAGCACAUUUGUGAUUACCAAUGGAUGUUUUUGUAGCACUGGAGUCUCUCACUGGAAUCACUGCAUCAGUGGUAACAGCCACUAGACUGACCUCCCGAGGAGCCGUCCUUUGCACAAUAGAGAUCUUCUACAAACAUCAGAGGAGAGCGAAGAGGAGCUGUAUUCCUCCUGCCGCCAGCUUCGGAGGCGGCAAGAAGAACUGAACAACCAGCUCUUUCUGUACGACACCCACCAGAACCUGCGCAGCGCCACCCGUGAUGCCAUGGUCAGAGAAUUCAACGUCAACGAGAACCAGCUGCAGCUGUACCAGGAGAAGUGCAACCGCAGGUGGGUCACAGCCUGCAGCCACUGUGAGGUCAGGCCUGGGCCAGGGCGGAGGGCAAGGCUCCCCCUUCAGAAAGCCUGAGCCCUGACCCCUCUUCUCUUGGCUCCAUCAAUUACUUAUACUAAGAGCUCAAGCAUCUGCACCUUCCCUGAGCUGAACUGUCCUCCUGAGCACGCCCAGGAAAGAGUGAAAAUAAGCAAUGACCAUUACUGUU
rnacentral:lncRNA from 1 species